rnacentral:rRNA from 1 species
ACGAACGCUGGCGGCGUGCCUAAUACAUGCAAGUCGAACGGUCUUUCUAUGGAAGCUUGCUUCCACUGAGAAGAUAGUGGCGAACGGGUGAGUAACACGUGGGUAACCUGCCCAUAAGAGGGGGGAUAACAUCCGGAAACGGGUGCUAAUACCGCAUAGUUUUCUUGAUCGCAUGAUCGGGAAAGGAAAGACGGCCUUUGUGCUGUCGCUUAUGGAUGGACCCGCGGCGUAUUAGUUAGUUGGUGAGGUAACGGCUCACCAAGACGAUGAUACGUAGCCGACCUGAGAGGGUGAUCGGCCACAUUGGGACUGAGACACGGCCCAAACUCCUACGGGAGGCAGCAGUAGGGAAUCUUCCGCAAUGGACGAAAGUCUGACGGAGCAGCGCCGCGUGAGUGAAGAAAGGUUUUCGGAUCGUAAAACUCUGUUGUCAGAGAAGAACAAGUUGGAGAGUAACUGCUCCAGCCUUGACGGUAUCUGACCAGAAAGCCACGGCUAACUACGUGCCAGCCGCCGC